AGAAAAAAUAUUAAAAAAAAUCAGAUUGGGUGUUUGGGACUUCUUAGGGCUCUAGAUCAAAGAGAAAAAGGUCUUUUGGAUCUUUCUUUUUGGUUUUCCUAGGGCAUGAGAGUCCAUAUUAUUUUCUGUAUGAGAAAUCAUAUUAGAUCUGAUUUUUAUCAUGAAAAAUUAGAGAAAAAAAAUUCUUCUUAAAGGCAUAAAAGGAAGAGAGGUUCUCUCUUGUGCGUGGGAGAAUUGAGAAGAAAGAGUUUUUCUUUUGAUCUCUAUCGUAGAUUUGAUAUGUGGAUCCAGAAAGAAAGAAGAAGAUCUCCUUGUUCUUCAUCUUCUUCAUGUUCUUCUUACAUCAACCAACAAAAGGUAUCUUCACGAGCUAGCACUCUCAGAGAGAUCGAUCAGUAUAAAGGCUUCGUAUGGAUACCUAUAGAGGCA
rnacentral:lncRNA from 1 species